rnacentral:lncRNA from 1 species
GGAUUUGGCAGGGUCAUAGGACAAUAGUGGAGGGAAGGUCAGCAGAUAAACAAGUGAACAAAGGUCUCUGGUUUUCCUAGGCAGAGGACCCUGCGGCCUUGGCCUUCCGCAGUGUUUGUGUCCCUGGGUACUUAAGAUUAGGGAGUGGUGAUGACUCUUAACCACUGCCUAAUCCAGUCUGCCUGGAUGCCAGACUGGGCAGCCAGGCAGAGGGGCUCCUCACAUCCCAGACGAUGGGUGGCCAAGCAGAGACGCUCUGCACUCCAGCCUGGGCACCAUUGAGCACUGAGUGAACGAGACUCCAUCUGCAAUCCCGGCACCUCGGGAGGCCGAGGCUGGCGGAUCACUCGCGGCUAGGAGCUGGAGACCAGCCCGGCCAACACAGCGAAACCCCGUCUCCACCAAAAAAAAACGAAAACCAGUCAGGCGUGGCGGUGCGCGCCUGCAAUCGCAGGCACUCGGCAGGCUGAGGCAGGAGAAUCAGGCAGGGAGGUUGCAGUGAGCCGAGAUGGCAGCAGUACCGUCCAGCCUUGGCUCGGCAUCAGAGGGAGAGGGAGAGGGAGAGGGAGAGGGAGGGGGAGGGAGAGGGAGAGGGAGAGGGAGAG